UACCCAUGGUGUGGACACUCUCUACCAUAUUCCUUGAACCUCUCCCAAGCGUCACCAAAGGACUCUCCUGAGAACUGGUUGAAAGAGACGAUCUUGUUCCUUAGAGA
rfam:Arabis alpina cultivar Pajares scaff_47632_1_contig_1, whole genome shotgun sequence.